rnacentral:rRNA from 1 species
GAUGAACGCUGACAGAAUGCUUAACACAUGCAAGUCGACUCGAGUCUUCGGACUUGGGUGGCGCACGGGUGAGUAACGCGUAAAGAACUUGCCUCUUAGACCGGGACAACAUCUGGAAACGGAUGCUAAUACCGGAUAUUAUGGUUUUUUCGCAUGGAGGAAUCAUGAAAGCUGGAUGCGCUAAGAGAGAGCUUUGCGUCCCAUUAGCUAGUUGGUGAGGUAACGGCCCACCAAGGCAAUGAUGGGUAGCCGGCCUGAGAGGGUGAACGGCCACAAGGGGACUGAGACACGGCCCUUACUCCUACGGGAGGCAGCAGUGGGGAAUAUUGGACAAUGGACCGCAAGUCUGAUCCAGCAAUUCUGUGUGCACGAUGACGUUUUUCGGAAUGUAAAGUGCUUUCAGUCGGGAAGAAGUCAGUGACGGUACCGACAGAAGAAGCGACGGCUAAAUACGUGCCAGCAGCCGCGGUAAUACGUAUGUCGCAAGCGUUAUCCGGAUUUAUUGGGCGUAAAGCGCGUCUAGGCGGCAAGGAAUGUCUGAUGUGAAAAUGCGGAGCUCAACUCCGUAUGGCGUUGGAAACUGCCUUACUAGAGUACUGGAUAGGUAGGCGGAACUACAAGUGUGGAUGUGAAAUUCGUAGAUAUUUGUAGGAAUGCCGAUGGGGAAGCCAGCCUACUGGACAGAUACUGACGCUGAAUGCGCGAAUGCGUGUGUUAGCAAACAAG